GAUGAACGCUGGCGGCGUGCCUAAUACAUGCAAGUCGAGCGAACAGACGAGGAGCUUGCUCCUCUGACGUUAGCGGCGGACGGGUGAGUAACACGUGGAUAACCUACCUAUAAGACUGGGAUAACUUCGGGAAACCGGAGCUAAUUCCGGAUAAUAUAUUGAACCGCAUGGUUCAAUAGUGAAAGACGGUUUUGCUGUCACUUAUAGAUGGAUCCGCGCCGCAUUAGCUAGUUGGUAAGGUAACGGCUUACCAAGGCAACGAUGCGUAGCCGACCUGAGAGGGUGAUCGGCCACACUGGAACUGAGACACGGUCCAGACUCCUACGGGAGGCAGCAGUAGGGAAUCUUCCGCAAAGGGCGAAAGCCUGACGGAGCAACGCCGCGUGAGUGAUGAAGGUCUUCGGAUCGUAAAACUCUGUUAUUAGGGAAGAACAAAUGUGUAAGUAACUAUGCACGCCUUGACGGUACCUAAUCAGAAAGCCACGGCUAACUACGUG
rnacentral:rRNA from 1 species